rnacentral:rRNA from 1 species
AAUGAACGCUGGCGGCAGGCCUAACACAUGCAAGUCGAACGGGCCCUUCGGGGCUAGUGGCGGACGGGUGAGUAACGCGUGGGAACAUACCCUUUGGUACGGAAUAGCCUCGGGAAACUGAGAGUAAUACCGUAUGUGCUCGAAAGAGGAAAGAUUUAUCGCCAAAGGAUUGGCCCGCGUUGGAUUAGGUAGUUGGUGGGGUAAUGGCCUACCAAGCCGACGAUCCAUAGCUGGUUUGAGAGGAUGAUCAGCCACACUGGGACUGAGACACGGCCCAGACUCCUACGGGAGGCAGCAGUGGGGAAUCUUAGACAAUGGGGGCAACCCUGAUCUAGCCAUGCCGCGUGAGUGAUGAAGGCCUUAGGGUUGUAAAAGCUCUUUCAGUGGGGAAGAUAAUGACGGUACCCACAGAAGAAGCCCCCGGCUAAACUCCGUGCCAGCAGCCGCGGU